rnacentral:rRNA from 1 species
AUUCGAGGAGGUAGUGACAGAAAUACCGAUGCGGGACCCUACGGGUGCCGCGUUCGGAAUGAGUACGAUUCGAACCACCUAACGAGGAACGAUCGAGGGCAAGUCUGGUGCCAGCAGCCGCGGUAAUUCCAGCUCCAAAUAGCGUACGUUAAAGUUGCUGCAGUUAAAAAGCUCGUAGUUGAACGUUCGGGUUCCGCGGGACGGGGCCGCCCCGCGAGGGACGGCGCCGCCCCGGGGCUCGUGAUAUCUCAUCUCGCCGCCCGUCGCGAGGCGGACGGAGGGGAUGGAUGAGGUUACCUGGAAAAAAAUCGGGGCGAUCUAGGCGGGCGAACCUCGCCAACGAACGAUCGGACAUGGGAUAACGGAAGAGGGCGUCGGCUCGACUUCGUCGGUUCCUCGGGCC